rnacentral:rRNA from 1 species
CCUACGGGGUGCAGCAGUCGAGAAUCAUUCACAAUGGGGGAAACCCUGAUGGUGCGACGCCGCGUGGGGGAAUGAAGGUCUUCGGAUUGUAAACCCCUGUCAUGUGGGAGCAAAUUAAAAAGAUAGUACCACAAGAGGAAGAGACGGCUAACUCUGUGCCAGCAGCCGCGGUAAUACAGAGGUCUCAAGCGUUGUUCGGAAUCACUGGGCGUAAAGCGUGCGUAGGCUGUUUCGUAAGUCGUGUGUGAAAGGCGGGGGCUCAACCCGCGGACGGCACAUGAUACUGCGAGACUAGAGUAAUGGAGGGGGAACCGGAAUUCUCGGUGUAGCAGUGAAAUGCGUAGAUAUCGAGAGGAACACUCGUGGCGAAGGCGGGUUCCUGGACAUUAACUGACGCUGAGGCACGAAGGCCAGGGGAGCGAAAGGGAUUAGAUACCCUAGUAGUC